rnacentral:lncRNA from 1 species
CCACAACUGUCAGUAAGAGUGUCCAUGAUUGAGUCUUUGAAUGAAGAGAACACGCUUUGAGAACACACCCUGGUAUUCCAUCUGGCCCGGCGGUCAUGCGAGUGUUAACCUGUUUAAACGUUUUUUUUUUUAAAACAGGUAAAGUCCUCGUACCAGUCCUCACAGAGCCUGGUGGAGAUAGAUAUGCAACCAUACUACAAGUCAGGACAUUUCUCUGCAUCCAGGUUGAGGCUUGCUACCAGCAAGAACAUGGACCACUCUAUGUCAGUGCCACAGAGAGCGAAUGGUAUUCCAGGGCCAUCUGACCGACUACCUGCGAUCACUACAGAGCAC